AGGGGCAGACGGCAUGCCGGGGGCAGGCUCCCAGGGGCAGGUUCCCAGGGGCAGACGGUGUGCCCUGGGCAGCUGCAAUGGUGUAAUGCUUCUUCAAAGAGCUACUUUCUAUCAGGCCUGGGUUGGAUUCCUUGAACACAGGUGAUUCAAAUGUAGUUUUUGAAGUUUUUGAAGUUAACUCUUUGAGGGGCGAAUAUGAAGAUUAUUUAUUAGUCAUUAAAGAAGACACAGAAGAGAGGACAGGAGAGAAAUUCAAUAAAA